rnacentral:rRNA from 1 species
GAUGAACGCUGGCGGCGUGCCUAAUACAUGCAAGUCGAGCGAACAGAUGAGAAGCUUGCUUCUCUGAUGUUAGCGGCGGACGGGUGAGUAACACGUGGGUAACCUACCUAUAAGACUGGGAUAACUCCGGGAAACCGGGGCUAAUACCGGAUAAUAUUUUGAACCGCAUGGUUCAAUAGUGAAAGACGGUUUCGGCUGUCACUUAUAGAUGGACCCGCGCCGUAUUAGCUAGUUGGUAAGGUAACGGCUUACCAAGGCGACGAUACGUAGCCGACCUGAGAGGGUGAUCGGCCACACUGGAACUGAGACACGGUCCAGACUCCUACGGGAGGCAGCAGUAGGGAAUCUUCCGCAAUGGGCGAAAGCCUGACGGAGCAACGCCGCGUGAGUGAUGAAGGUCUUCGGAUCGUAAAACUCUGUUGUUAGGGAAGAACAAAUUUGUUAGUAACCGAACAAAUCUUGACGGUACCUAACCAGAAAGCCACGGCUAACUACGUGCCAGCAGCCGCGGUAAUACGUAGGUGGCAAGCGUUAUCCGGAAUUAUUGGGCGUAAAGCGCGCGUAGGCGGUUUCUUAAGUCUGAUGUGAAAGCCCACGGCUCACCCGUGGAGGGUCAUUGGAAACUGGGAAACUUGAGUGCAGAAGAGGAGAGUGGAAUUCCAUGUGUAGCGGUGAAAUGCGCAGAGAUAUGGAGGAACACCAGUGGCGAAGGCGGCUCUCUGGUCUGUAACUGACGCUGAUGUGCGAAAGCGUGGGGAUCAAACAGGAUUAGAUACCCUGGUAGUCCACGCCGUAAACGAUGAGUGCUAAGUGUUAGGGGGUUUCCGCCCCUUAGUGCUGCAGCUAACGCAUUAAGCACUCCGCCUGGGGAGUACGACCGCAAGGUUGAAACUCAAAGGAAUUGACGGGGACCCGCACAAGCGGUGGAGCAUGUGGUUUAAUUCGAAGCAACGCGAAGAACCUUACCAAAUCUUGACAUCCUUUGACCGCUCUAGAGAUAGAGUCUUCCCCUUCGGGGGACAAAGUGACAGGUGGUGCAUGGUUGUCGUCAGCUCGUGUCGUGAGAUGUUGGGUUAAGUCCCGCAACGAGCGCAACCCUUAAGCUUAGUUGCCAUCAUUAAGUUGGGCACUCUAGGUUGACUGCCGGUGACAAACCGGAGGAAGGUGGGGAUGACGUCAAAUCAUCAUGCCCCUUAUGAUUUGGGCUACACACGUGCUACAAUGGAUAAUACAAAGGGCAGCGAAUCCGCGAGGCCAAGCAAAUCCCAUAAAACUAUUCUCAGUUCGGAUUGUAGUCUGCAACUCGACUACAUGAAGCUGGAAUCGCUAGUAAUCGUAGAUCAGCAUGCUACGGUGAAUACGUUCCCGGGUCU